GACCCUAUAGAGUUUAAUAUUUUAUUGAUAAAUUAUUUUUUAGAAUUUAAUAUUAAUUUAUUAAUUAAAUAUUUGAUUGGGGUGAUUGAAAAAUUUAAGUAACUUUUUUUAUAUUUAAACAUUAAUUUAUGAUUAUUUGAUCCAUUAUUUAUGAUUAUAAGAUUAAAUUACCUUAGGGAUAACAGCGUAAUUUUUUUUAAGAGUUCAAAUCGAAAAAAAAGAUUGCGACCUCGAUGUUGGAUUAAAAUUUAUUUUUGGUGUAGAAGCUAAAUUUAUUGGGUCUGUUCGACCUUUAAAAUUUUACAUGAUCUGA
rnacentral:rRNA from 1 species